CAGUAGCCGCGGGAAUACGGAGGGUGCAAGCGUUAAUCGGAAUUACUGGGCGUAAAGCGUGCGUAGGCGGUUCGUUAAGUCUGUUGUGAAAGCCCCGGGCUCAACCUGGGAAUGGCAAUGGAUACUGGCGAGCUAGAGUGUGUCAGAGGAUGGUGGAAUUCCCGGUGUAGCGGUGAAAUGCGUAGAGAUCGGGAGGAACAUCAGUGGCGAAGGCGGCCAUCUGGGACAACACUGACGCUGAGGCACGAAAGCGUGGGGAGCAAACAGGAUUAGAGACCCCGGUAGUCCCUGUCCUUAUACA
rnacentral:rRNA from 1 species